rnacentral:rRNA from 1 species
UACGUAGGGACCAAGCGUUGUUCGGAUUUACUGGGCGUAAAGGGCGCGUAGGCGGCCAUUCAAGUCGGAGGUGAAAGCCCAGGGCUCAACCCUGGAAUUGCCUUCGAUACUGUCUGGCUAGAGACCGGAAGAGGUAAGUGGAACUGCGAGUGUAGAGGUGAAAUUCGUAGAUAUUCGCAAGAACACCAGUGGCGAAGGCGGCUUACUAGUCCGGUUCUGACGCUGAGGCGCGAAAGCGUGGGGAGCAAACAGG